UACGUAGGUGGCAAGCGUUGUCCGGAUUUAUUGGGCGUAAAGCGCGUGUAGGCGGCUUUGCAAGUCGGGUGUGAAAGCCCUCGGCUCAACCGAGGAAGUGCGCCCGAAACUGCAGAGCUUGAGUACCGGAGAGGAUGGCGGAAUUCCCCAAGUAGAGGUGAAAUGCGCAGAUAUCGGGAGGAACACCGGUGGCGAAGGCGGUUCUCUGGGCCUUACCUGACGCUGAGGAGCGAAAGCGUGGGGAGCGAACAGG
rnacentral:rRNA from 1 species